CCUACGGGUGGCAGCAGUGGGGAAUAUUGCACAAUGGGGGAAACCCUGAUGCAGCGACGCCGCGUGAGUGAAGAAGUAUUUCGGUACGUAAAGCUCUAUCAGCAGGGAAGAAAAUGACGGUACCUGACUAAGAAGCCCCGGCUAACUACGUGCCAGCAGCCGCGGUAAUACGUAGGGGGCAAGCGUUCUCCGGAUUUACUGGGUGUAAAGGGAGCGUAGACGGCAGCGCAAGUCUGGAGUGAAAUCCCAUGGCUUAACCAUGGAACUGCUUUGGAAACUGUGCAGCUAGAGUGCAGGAGAGGUAAGCGGAAUUCCUAGUGUAGCGGUGAAAUGCGUAGAUAUUAGGAGGAACACCAGUGGCGAAGGCGGCUUACUGGACUGUAACUGACGUUGAGGCUCGAAAGCGUGGGGAGCAAACAGGAGUAGAUACCCGAGUAGUC
rnacentral:rRNA from 1 species